AUGAACGCUGGCGGCGUGCUUAACACCUGCAAGUCGAACGAUGAUGCCCAGCUUGCUGGGUGGAUUAGUGGCGAACGGGUGAGUAACACGUGAGUAACCUGCCCUUGACUCUGGGAUAAGCCUGGGAAACUGGGUCUAAUACCGGAUACGACCAUCUGGCGCAUGUCAUGGUGGUGGAAAGCUUUUGUGGUUUUGGAUGGACUCGCGGCCUAUCAGCUUGUUGGUGGGGUAAUGGCCUACCAAGGCGACGACGGGUAGCCGGCCUGAGAGGGUGACCGGCCACACUGGGACUGAGACACGGCCCAGACUCCUACGGGAGGCAGCAGUGGGGAAUAUUGCACAAUGGGCGCAAGCCUGAUGCAGCGACGCCGCGUGAGGGAUGACGGCCUUCGGGUUGUAAACCUCUUUCAGUAGGGAAGAAGCGAAAGUGACGGUACCUGCAGAAGAAGCGCCGGCUAACUACGUG
rnacentral:rRNA from 1 species